UUAAUUGAAGAGUUUGAUCAUGGCUCAGAUUGAACGCUGGCGGCAGGCCUAACACAUGCAAGUCGAGCGGCAGCACAGAGGAACUUGUUCCUUGGGUGGCGAGCGGCGGACGGGUGAGUAAUGCCUGGGAAAUUGCCCG
rnacentral:rRNA from 1 species